AGCACAAAAGUUUAAAGCAUUAAAACUUUCUUACAUGGGCUUAUGUUCUGUGGAGAAAAACAACAUCUCUCCUCCAGUUGGUGAAUAAGACUUGGAUUUCAAGAACAGAUGAGCAAAGAGCAAUAUUUGAAAGAGACAGCAUCAGCCUGGGGAUGCUUGUGAGGGGAUGUGCAACCUGCUUUGAGCUUGGUUACAGCCACACCUAAUUCUGACGUGGAUUCUGCUGCAGCACUGUCUGGUGUCCUCAGAGCUAAGCCAUCCUGUGUUUGUUUGUUCCAUAUAAGUCUGGAGACUGAGCCAGAGAGGGUGGCAGUGCAGCCAAACUUGGAGU